AACGUAGGAGACAAACGUUAUCCGGAGUUACUGGGCGUAAAGGGCGUGCAGGUGGUCUGUUAAGUCUGGCGUGAAAGCUCUCGGCUAAACCGGGAGAGGUCGUUGGAUACUGGCGGACUAGAGGACGGUAGAGGCGUGUGGAAUUCCGGGUGUAGUGGUGAAAUGCGUAGAGAUCCGGAGGAACACCAGUGGCGAAGGCGACACGCUGGGCCGUACCUGACACUAAAAACGCGACAGCAUGGGGAGCGAACGGG
rnacentral:rRNA from 1 species